rnacentral:rRNA from 1 species
CUUUGCUGGCGACCGGCGCACGGGUGAGUAACACGUAUCCAACCUGCCCUUUACUCGGGGAUAGCCUUUCGAAAGAAAGAUUAAUACCCGAUAGUAUAAUGAUUCCGCAUGGUUUGAUUAUUAAAGGAUUCCGGUAAAGGAUGGGGAUGCGUUCCAUUAGGUUGUUGGUGAGGUAACGGCUCACCAAGCCUUCGAUGGAUAGGGGUUCUGAGAGGAAGGUCCCCCACAUUGGAACUGAGACACGGUCCAA